UACGGAGGGUGCAAGCGUUAUCCGGAUUCACUGGGUUUAAAGGGUGCGUAGGUGGGCUUGUAAGUCAGUGGUGAAAUCUCCGGGCUUAACCCGGAAACUGCCAUUGAUACUAUAGGUCUUGAAUUAUCUGGAGGUCAGCGGAAUAUGUCAUGUAGCGGUGAAAUGCUUAGAUAUGACAUAGAACACCAAUUGCGAAGGCAGCUGGCUACAGGUAUAUUGACACUGAGGCACGAAAAGCGUGGGGAUCAAACAGG
rnacentral:rRNA from 1 species